UACAGGGGGUGCAAACGUUGCUCGGAAUUAUUGGGCGUAAAGCGCGCGUAGGCGGCUACUUAAGUCGGAUGUGAAAGCCCCUGGCUCAACUGGGGAAGUGCACCCGAAACUGAGUGGCUUGAGUGCGAAAGAGGGUCGCGGAAUUCCCGGUGUAGAGGUGAAAUUCGUAGAUAUCGGGAGGAACACCGGUGGCGAAGGCGGCGACCUGGGUCGACACUGACACUGAGGAGCGAAAGCCAGGGGAGCAAACGGG
rnacentral:rRNA from 1 species